rnacentral:rRNA from 1 species
AGGGGAGGACGAGCGAGCGAAGUUUGCAGAAGCAUUAGAGAUGGUCGCUGGCCUUUGGAAACGAAGGCAUGUGCACGUCUCGGUCCUCGUUCUCUUUCCUUUCGUAAAUCUUUGACACCCGUGCACCUCUUGUAGGUCCCUGCGAGGGGACCUAUGUCUUCACAAACUCUUUGUAUGUCCAGGAAUGUAUCUAAAGCGUCGACCGGCUUGGCUGAACGUCCAGUCGGCGACGGUAAAGAAUGUAAUACAACUUUCAGCAACGGAUCUCUUGGCUCUCGCAUCGAUGAAGAACGCAGCGAAUUGCGAUAAGUAAUGUGAAUUGCAGAUUUUCAGUGAAUCAUCGAAUCUUUGAACGCACCUUGCGCUCCUUGGUAUUCCGAGGAGCAUGCCUGUUUGAGUGUCAUUUAAUUCUCAACCAUCCCUCGAUUGAUUUUUCGAGGUUUGGCUUGGAUUUUGGGAGCUGCCGGCGACCGAUCGGGUCUUUGGCUCUCCUCAAAAGCAUUAGCGACGGCGGUGUGACCUCCCCCGUGCAUGAACGGCCUUCGACGUGAUAAUGAUCGUCGUGGGCUGGAGUGCUAGCGGGCGUCGCGUCGCGUUCGGCGCUUCUAAUUCUCGUCGAAAGACGAAAUAUAUCGAAACUUGACCUCAAAUCAGGUAGGACUACCCGCUGAACUUAAGCAUAUCAAUAAGCGGAGGAAAAGAAACUAACAAGGAUUCCCCUAGUAACUGCGAGUGAAGCGGGAUGAGCUCAAAUUUUGAAUCUGGCGGUCUUCUGGCCGUCCGAGUUGUAAUCUAGAGAAGCGUCUUCCGCGCUGGACC